GGACCACAAGCUCUGCGAAGAGUUGCUGAGGUAGCUGGGUUUGUUUAGCCUUGAGAAGAGGAGGCUCAGAGGGAACCUCAUCACUCUACAACUCCCUGAGAAGAAGCUGUAGUGAGGUGGGUGUUGGUCUCUUCUACUGUGCCUGCAGUGAGAGGACCAGAGGAAAUGGCCUU